rnacentral:rRNA from 1 species
UACGUAGGGGGCUAGCGUUGUCCGGAAUCACUGGGCGUAAAGGGCGCGUAGGCGGCCUGAUAAGUAGGGGGUGAAAUCCUGCGGCUUAACCGCAGGGCUGCCUUCUAAACUGUCAGGCUUGAGCACAGUAGAGGCAGGUGGAAUUCCCGGUGUAGCGGUGGAAUGCGUAGAGAUCGGGAAGAACAUCAGUGGCGAAGGCGGCCUGCUGGGCUGUUGCUGACGCUGAGGCGCGACAGCGUGGGGAGCAAACAGG